UACGUAGGGGGCAAGCGUUGUCCGGAAUCACUGGGCGUAAAGCGCACGUAGGCGGCUUUCUAAGUCAGGGGUGAAAUCCUGGAGCUCAACUCCAGAACUGCCUUUGAUACUGGGAAGCUCGAGUCCGGAAGAGGUGAGUGGAACUCCGAGUGUAGAGGUGAAAUUCGUAGAUAUUCGGAAGAACACCAGUGGCGAAGGCGGCUCACUGGUCCGGUACUGACGCUGAGGUGCGAAAGCGUGGGGAGCAAACAGG
rnacentral:rRNA from 1 species